rnacentral:rRNA from 1 species
UUGAUGCAAGGUUAAGCAGUAAAUGUGGAGCCGUAGCGAAAGCGAGUCUGAAUAGGGCGUUUAGUAUUUGGUCGUAGACCCGAAACCAGGUGAUCUACCCUUGGUCAGGUUGAAGUUCAGGUAACACUGAAUGGAGGACCGAACCGACUUACGUUGAAAAGUGAGCGGAUGAACUGAGGGUAGCGGAGAAAUUCCAAUCGAACCUGGAGAUAGCUGGUUCUCUCCGAAAUAGCUUUAGGGCUAGCCUCAAGUGAUGAUUAUUGGAGGUAGAGCACUGUUUGGACGAGGGGCCCCUCUCGGGUUACCGAAUUCAGACAAACUCCGAAUGCCAAUUAAUUUAACUUGGGAGUCAGAACAUGGGUGAUAAGGUCCGUGUUCGAAAGGGAAACAGCCCAGACCACCAGCUAAGGUCCCAAAAUAUAUGUUAAGUGGAAAAGGAUGUGGCGUUGCCCAGACAACUAGGAUGUUGGCUUAGAAGCAGCCAUCAUUUAAAGAGUGCGUAAUAGCUCACUAGUCGAGUGACACUGCGCCGAAAAUGUACCGGGGCUAAACAUAUUACCGAAGCUGUGGAUUGUCCUUUGGACAAUGGUAGGAGAGCGUUCUAAGGGCGUUGAAGCAUGAUCGUAAGGACAUGUGGAGCGCUUAGAAGUGAGAAUGCCGGUGUGAGUAGCGAAAGACGGGUGAGAAUCCCGUCCACCGAUUGACUAAGGUUUCCAGAGGAAGGCUCGUCCGCUCUGGGUUAGUCGGGUCCUAAGCUGAGGCCGACAGGCGUAGGCGAUGGAUAACAGGUUGAUAUUCCUGUACCACCUAUAAUCGUUUUAAUCGAUGGGGGGACGCAGUAGGAUAGGCGAAGCGUGCGAUUGGAUUGCACGUCUAAGCAGUAAGGCUGAGUAUUAGGCAAAUCCGGUACUCGUUAAGGCUGAGCUGUGAUGGGGAGAAGACAUUGUGUCUUCGAGUCGUUGAUUUCACACUGCCGAGAAAAGCCUCUAGAUAGAAAAUAGGUGCCCGUACCGCAAACCGACACAGGUAGUCAAGAUGAGAAUUCUAAGGUGAGCGAGCGAACUCUCGUUAAGGAACUCGGCAAAAUGACCCCGUAACUUCGGGAGAAGGGGUGCUCUUUAGGGUUAACGCCCAGAAGAGCCGCAGUGAAUAGGCCCAAGCGACUGUUUAUCAAAAACACAGGUCUCUGCUAAACCGUAAGGUGAUGUAUAGGGGCUGACGCCUGCCCGGUGCUGGAAGGUUAAGAGGAGUGGUUAGCUUCUGCGAAGCUACGAAUCGAAGCCCCAGUAAACGGCGGCCGUAACUAUAACGGUCCUAAGGUAGCGAAAUUCCUUGUCGGGUAAGUUCCGACCCGCACGAAAGGCGUAACGAUUUGGGCACUGUCUCAACGAGAGACUCGGUGAAAUCAUAGUACCUGUGAAGAUGCAGGUUACCCGCGACAGGACGGAAAGACCCCGUGGAGCUUUACUGUAGCCUGAUAUUGAAAUUCGGCACAGCUUGUACAGGAUAGGUAGGAGCCUUUGAAACGUGAGCGCUAGCUUACGUGGAGGCGCUGGUGGGAUACUACCCUAGCUGUGUUGGCUUUCUAACCCGCACCACUUAUCGUGGUGGGAGACAGUGUCAGGCGGGCAGUUUGACUGGGGCGGUCGCCUCCUAAAAGGUAACGGAGGCGCUCAAAGGUUCCCUCAGAAUGGUUGGAAAUCAUUCAUAGAGUGUAAAGGCAUAAGGGAGCUUGACUGCGAGACCUACAAGUCGAGCAGGGUCGAAAGACGGACUUAGUGAUCCGGUGGUUCCGCAUGGAAGGGCCAUCGCUCAACGGAUAAAAGCUACCCCGGGGAUAACAGGCUUAUCUCCCCCAAGAGUUCACAUCGACGGGGAGGUUUGGCACCUCGAUGUCGGCUCAUCGCAUCCUGGGGCUGUAGUCGGUCCCAAGGGUUGGGCUGUUCGCCCAUUAAAGCGGUACGCGAGCUGGGUUCAGAACGUCGUGAGACAGUUCGGUCCCUAUCCGUCGUGGGCGUAGGAAAUUUGAGAGGAGCUGUCCUUAGUACGAGAGGACCGGGAUGGACAUACCUCUGGUGUACCAGUUGUCGUGCCAACGGCAUAGCUGGGUAGCUAUGUGUGGACGGGAUAAGUGCUGAAAGCAUCUAAGCAUGAAGCCCCCCUCAAGAUGAGAUUUCCCAACUUCGGUUAUAAGAUCCCUCAAAGA